rnacentral:misc_RNA from 13 species
GAAGGCGUGGGGAGCAAACAGGAUUAGAUACCCUGGUAGUCCACGCUGUAAACGAUGAAUGUUAAAUAUGGGAAGUUUACUUUCUGUAUUACAGCUAACGCGUUAAACAUUC